GCUCAAGAGGAACUAGAAGAGGGAGAAGCAGAAAGAAGCCGCCAAGAGUUAGAGCCAGACCAGGAGCCCGAACCAGAGCUAGAGCUGAGGCUGUUUUUGCUAAAGAAGCAGCAACUAAAGAAGUCGAAACGAUGAUGGUUUUCUUGGGACUGCUCAGCUCCUUCCUUUCCUUCCUGUACAUGAUAGCUCCAUUUAUCAGGAAGUUCUUUGCUGGUGGGGUUUGUAAAACAAAUGUGCAGCUUCCUGGGAAGGUGGUGGUGAUCACCGGCGCCAACACGGGCAUCGGCAAGGAGACGGCCAGAGAGCUCGCUCGCAGAGGAGCCCGGGUAUACAUCGCCUGCCGAGACAUACUGAAGGGGGAGUCUGCCGCCAGUGAAAUCCGAGCUGAUACAAAGAACUCCCAGGUGCUGGUGCGGAAACUGGACCUAUCGGAUACCAAAUCCAUCCGAGCCUUUGCUGAGGGCUUUCUGGCAGAGGAAAAGCAGCUCCAUAUUCUGAUCAACAAUGCAGGAGUGAUGAUGUGUCCAUAUUCCAAGACAGCUGAUGGCUUUGAAACCCACCUGGGAGUCAACCACCUGGGCCACUUCCUUCUCACCCACUUGCUCCUGGAGCGGCUGAAGGAGUCUGCUCCUGCACGGGUGGUGAACCUGUCGUCAAUGGUCCACAUUGCUGGCAAGAUUCGCUUCCACGACCUCCAGGGUGAGAAGCGCUACAACCGGGCUUUUGCUUACAGCCACAGCAAGCUGGCCAAUGUGCUUUUCACUCGCGAGCUGGCCAAGAGGCUCCAAGGCACAGGGGUCACCACCUACGCAGUGCACCCAGGCAUCGUCCGCUCCGAGCUGAUCCGGCACUCCUUCCUGUUGUGCCUGCUUUGGCGGCUCUUCUCACCCUUUGUCAAGUCGGCGCGGGAGGGUGCACAGACCAGCCUGCACUGCGCCCUGGCUGAGGGCCUGGAGCCCCUGAGUGGCAAGUACUUCAGUGACUGCAAGAAGGCCUGGGUGUCUCCAAGGGCCCGGAACAACAAGACGGCUGAGCGCCUGUGGGACGUCAGCUGUGAGCUCCUCGGAAUCCAAUGGAAGUAGAGCAGAUAGAGGAGCCACAGCUUCGUCAGGUCUUGUCUGCGCCAUAAUGAAAGGGGACCGAGGAGAAGGCCACCCCUGAAGGCUUGUCCUCCCGGCUGGCUGCUGUUACGAAACCUGGCCUCCUCCGAUUCGCUGACCCUCCCGGAAACCUUUACACACCACCCUCUCGUGGGAUUGGCCCUUGGCAUGAGAUGUCCACACCUACACAGCAUUUUCUCCAAGACUUGCAGAGCCGGCCGGCCGCCCUCUCAGGGCAGGAGGAGUGGGUAGACGUCAGGCCGAACAUAGGGAUGGUGAGAAGAGCCCGGCUCUUCUUGGGUCAGUUUCCUCACCAGUACCAGAAACACUAGCCAGCAUGUUCAGCGGAGGUGACAGGAGCAUCAGCAUUACGCAUUUCUUGGGACUAUAGACUCAAACUCUUUACUGAUCUUCUUUGAAACACUAGUCACAUCUCUGGAGUCUGGACAAACUCAGGAAAAUUUAGCUUAACCGUGGCCAGCUUUGGUCCUUGUUCUGAGCACCUUGGGGCCAUUGUGUGAAGCUGGACAUUCCCAGUUUAUUUUUCUACUUCUUUUUUAAAAAUUGAAUUUUUUCCCUAGCUUUAUUGAGAUAUCAUUGACAUAUAACAGUGUGUAAGUAUGGACCUUCCCAUUUUCAACCAUGCAGAUGGUUUCCUUCCCUAAAGCAUACCCUUUACCUUAGUUUGCAGAGGAAACAGGCUACACAUCUCAUUUGCUUUGUUAUUUUCCCAGGGUAGCAGGAGAGCAAUGGGACAAAGUGAGGAAGCCAGUCUUCUCAUUCAGUGAGUAGUAUCUCACCCUACUCACCACCCACGACCUUUUUACAAUAUUGCAUCUUAUAAUGCAUUAUUGAGAUGGUGUAAAGUAAGAUGCUUUGGUUGGGUAUUUUCUCAAGUUUCUUCCAGCUCUCACAUUUUAUUAUCUAAGAAGUGAUAGAAAUGACUUCAAUCACACCAAGGCUGAGCUUCUCUGUAGAUUAAGGCCAGAGGGAAUAUGGGACUUCACUUAACUGGAUACGUGGAUGCAGAAACGCCAAGCCCUGAUAAACUCUCUACCUGAAAUCUCUUUUCCAGCCUCCCUGCUCUCCUGUGCUGUGGCUCGGUGACCUACCUACUUCUUGCCUCCUGUGCGGAAGGUCACUAAGAAGAGGCAGGGAGAUGGGCCCAAUCUGUCAGCCGAUAAGCCGAAGUCACGUUAUUGGUCCUGUUCUAAAGUAUCCAAAGGACAUCUGGUGACAAAAUGUCCUUUUCUUCCUCAGCAAGUAGACUUUUUAAAAAAACCUUUUUAUCAUGGCAAUUUUCAAAUAGACAAAAGUAGAGAAAAUAGUGUCGCAAAGCGCCCUGUUGUUCAGCAUCAACGUUGACAUCCUGUCAAUCGUGUUUCAUCUUAUUUCCCCCUUGACAUUUUUUGGGGGGUGCAGUGGGAUAUCCAGAUACCACACAUUCACCAAUAAAUACUUUAAUGUGUGUCUAAGUAAGAACACCACAAGCUCAGUGAUCAGAAGUAACCGCCCAGGACGGCCUGGUCACGGAGUCCUGCCUGGGUGGGUCACAGCAGGUAGUCACGUCCCAGGUCUACAGCUUCCUCAGCAAGGGCCGAUCUUUACCUUGAGUGAGCUCUGCCCAUGGUUCUUAUGCAUCUGGGAUAACAUAUCUUUGAAGUAUCAGAGCGAUUUUCUGUUCUAGACUCCUCCUAGGCACAACCAUCAGUACCAGAGCACAAGACCUCAGAAUCCCUUUGUUAUCUUGUUCCCGACAUCCUGUUUCUACCUGCUGCUGGAGGAACAAGCAGACGUCAACGCCCAGGACCGUGAGGGCUGCUGUCUGUGCAGCAAGGACAGCAAGCCGACCACGAGUGUGAGAGCAAAGGCUCUGUAAACACUGAGGCACAAGGUGUGGGCUUGGGUGGGGGUGUUAUGCUUGUCAGAGUCAGCUGGUUGUAGGUAGAAGAAACAAAGCAACACGUGGCCUGCAAGGAGUUGGCUCCAGAGGCCACAUCGAGGCAAUAGGCUGGUACUGGUAUUCUAGCAAAGGCGGAGCUGGGAAGAAUCCAGCUGAUUUGUACACGCCAAGACUGGUGCUGGAGGAAAUCACACCCCCCUGGCAGACUGGAGCCACUAUCCAUCACUGGCCAUCAUCGUCAAUUGGGCUUUCAGUCCUGCCUCGUCGCCUGUUCUCCCAGGGCUCAGGAUGGAUCCAGGGGAGUGUAUACAAUUCGUGGGACCAUCUUUCAGAAGAGAAUACAAAGUUACAGAUACAAAAUUAGGUACAAAAGUGGGUGUUGAUCUAGAAAGGGAAAAAAACCAUGAGAAACUGGGGUGGAAAUUUAGUUUUCCGAGGUCUCUUCAGGAAUUUUACCAGUGAUGCUCGCAGAAAAUGGCUUUCUGAGGGCAACUUGCCUUGCCCUCCACAACUAGAAUAUGAUUCCCAGCAACUCACAGGAGCCCAGGGAAGCUUUAAAAGCUUCACAGUGAGACUGCCUCUCCAUGGUUCAUGUCCUCUCCAUGUUCUCACACCACUGAGCCCACCAUCUCCCACUGACAGGUGAUUCUUCCUCUGAUUUCGUACAUAACAUGAAAACCGUCAGCCAUAAGCUCCUGUAACUUUCUGCUACCAAACCAGCAAACUCAUUUGUAUCCCACUCACAGCCUCUUCCUUUCCACCUUCUACAUUAAAAGAGGUAUCACUCGAUCCAUUUUUAA